rnacentral:tRNA from 4 species
GGAGAGAUGGCCGAGAGGCUGAAGGCGCACGCUUGGAAAGCGUGUAUAGGCAACCCCUAUCUAGGGUUCGAAUCCCUAUCUCUCCG